GCUGGAACAAUGAUGAAUUCAAUUGCCGUUUACCCAUCUGACAAUAUAAUGAGGAUAUCUUAUUAAUUCUGAGUUUCCAGC